GCAUGAGAGAUAUUUAAAAGUUGGUUAUGCUCACACUAUGGGAUGGGCUUUGCGGUGCAUUAGCUAGUUGGUGGGGUAAAGGCCCACCAAGGCGACGAUGCAUAGCCGACCUGAGAGGGUGAUCGGCCACACUGGGACUGAGACACGGCCCAGACUCCUACGGGAGGCAGCAGUAGGGAAUCUUCCGCAAUGGGCGAAAGCCUGACGGAGCAACGCCGCGUGAGUGAAGAAGGAUUUCGGUUCGUAAAGCUCUGUUGUUAGGGAAGAAUGGAUAUGUAGUAACUAUACAUAUAAGAGACGGUACCUAACCAGAAAGCCACGGCUAACUACGUGCCAGCAGCCGCGGUAAUACGUAGGGGGCUAGCGUUGUCCGGAAUCACUGGGCGUAAAGGGUUCGCAGGCGGAAAUGCAAGUCAGGUGUAAAAGGCAGUAGCUUAACUACUGUAAGCAUUUGAAACUGCAUAUCUUGAGAAGAGUAGAGGUAAGUGGAAUUUUUAGUGUAGCGGUGAAAUGCGUAGAUAUUAAAAAGAAUGCCGGUGGCGAAGGCG
rnacentral:rRNA from 1 species